rnacentral:rRNA from 1 species
CACGCCCUAAACGAUGUCAACUAGGUGUUGGGGAAGGAGACUUUCUUAGUACCGCAGCUAACGCGUGAAGUUGACCGCCUGGGGAGUACGGUCGCAAGAUUAAAACUCAAAGGAAUUGACGGGGACCCGCACAAGCGGUGGAUGAUGUGGAUUAAUUCGAUGCAACGCGAAAAACCUUACCUACCCUUGACAUGCCAGGAAUCCUGAAGAGAUUUGGGAGUGCCCGAAAGGGAGCCUGGACACAGGUGC